UUAAGAGAGGAGAAAGGGCUUCCUUUGAAGGAAACCCCAGCCUCCGCGGUCUUCUCACCUCUGUCUCUCCUUGUCAUCAUUGUUUAUGGGAAAGGUGACAGUGUGCUUUUGCUUUACGCAGUGUACGCUCAACCAUUUCGGGUAAAGCAAUUAAUGCUUCACCCUCUCUCCACCAAAACACCUCCAAACAGGUUCUGUGGUUUGUGAAUUUGGGGUUUGAGGAGCAAAAGAGGUCUCAAAGUCCAAGUCUCGAUCAAAGGCUGCGCACGAGAAAGGUAAUUCUCUUACCCUUGUUUAUUUUUUUGCCCUUUUUUUGGUGUUUAUAUGUAAUCUAUGUGUUAGUUAUGUGUGGUUUUGGUUAAGUCUGUUUUAUAUGCUGUUGAAGUUAAGUAGACUGAUUAGAUUGGUUAUUAGGUAAAUAUAAUUUAGGUGUCAUUAGCUUUAAAACUUGUUUGCUAAGUGUGUGUUUGGUUUAACUCCUACCUAUUACUUUCUUAAGUACAUGAUGUAAACCCGUUUAUGAUUCUGUUAAUUCAGUUGUUGUGUAGUGAAAUUCUACACCCUGAUUAAAGGAGAUAAUUACAAUUGUUUUUAAAAAAAAAACAAGAAAGACUAAACAUGUUAAGUUAAGUGUUCAAGCCCUUUUGGUUUAUGUUAUCUAUCCUGUUAAGCUAGUCAUGUUCAAAGGUGUUUAGAUACCACUUGAUCAAUCUGAAUCUCAUUAGAAUAAGAUCUAAUAAGGACUAUUAUCAUGCUCAUUUUUCUAUGUGUUGUUUAGAAGAAUGGUGUUAAUCCUUGCUUGUUCUCUAAAUCUUGUGUUUGUUUGUUGACUGCCAUGACAUCUGCUAAGUAUUAUGUCCAGUCCUGACCUAGAAGUUUGCUAGUCAUGCUAAUAUAGUUGAAAUUUGGUUAUGAUUGGAUGUCCUAUUGAUUAUCUAUGGCAAAUCUGGACCAACGGGUGUUGAACUUGAUCAAUAUGGUUACAUACACAUAAGUUUUCUUAUUUGACACCAGGAUCAGUGUGCCCAACUCUCUGUCUGGGUUUAACUAACAUGAGAGUUGGUUUUAACUGCCUGAGAUAUGUCUGUACAUGUUUAAGCUAAGUAUGGAGUCCCUUGUGACCUAUGUGUGCUUGAUGCUUUAGAAUGAUUUCUCUGUGGUGUGUGCUAGAGUCAAGUGUUGGUCUAACAAUGUGUUACUGAGGGUAAAUGGAACCUUUGUGCUUAUUGGACCUGAAGCUAUAACUGUUGAAGCUAGAAAUAACAUUUACAUGACUUUAGAGAGGAAUCAGACCCUCUAUAUGUUGCCCUUAAUGACUCUGUUUUCAAACUAUGAGGCUGGUAUUACUUGGUUUGUUGUUGGUUUUUGAUAUUACAAGUCUCAUAUUGCAUUCUAAAAAGCUAAAGGCAUUUUAAAACUUAGUUUAGCACCUGUGGACCUACAUUGAUGCUUUGUUAAGUCUUGAUGUUUGAAGUCCCUUAUUGGCAAAACCUGUAGUUAUGUGUUGUGUGGCCUUAUAUGUGACUCUAUAUGCUUGCUUAAUUAUCUAUGACCCUAUAUGUUUGCUUCCCUCUGUUGUAACUGAGUGUAAAACAUGGACCUAAGUGUAGUUUGAGGUUAGUAUAUGAACAUAAGUAUUGAAAGGUUAAGUUAAAAGGAGGCUGGGACUUAGCAUAUGAAUGAAUAUGAGUGUGACUUAUCUAGGAUCAAAGUAAAAGGGGAUAAUGCUUGGAGUUUCUAGCUAACUCAACCCAAACUCUCUAUUCUAGGUUGCUGGGGUUCCCUCAUAGGAGUUCAUAUUCUAUGGGACCCUUAAAAUAUUAAAAACAAGUGGAAAUGUCUGUCCUUACAAUCUGAGUCCCCUUUUAAAGAAAUAAAAUGAUUAAAUUGGUGUGCAAUAUUUCACCUUUAAAUAGUAUACUCCAAAACUGUUGAUCUUGGAUCUGGGCACACUAUGUACACUGUUUGGUUUCAUUUUUUGUGUGUUACCUCCUUUUUCUUUGAUUUUGUCUGCCUUUGUCUAAAUAAAAGUCCAAAGAUAUUGAAGGUCUUAAUCUGUUUUUUUUUUUCUUACUGUUUUCCCUGGGAUUGAUUGAUAUGGUAUACAAUGGGAUAUGCCCAGAUAUACAAAGUUUAUCCAGUUCUGUAAACAUGCAAAUGUAUAGAAUUUGGUAUAUUUAGUAUAUGGUAGGUAUAUCACUUAUGUAAGCCGUAAAAUGUUGGCUUUGUUUUUAAUGCCUUGUCUCAGCUUUGGGCCUAUCUUCUGUGUUUUGGGCCGUGGUUUCUUUCGUUAUCAUUUAGUCUUUAUUUGGGCCAUUGUUAUCUUGAAUUGGGCCUGUUAAUUCCUCUGAAUCUUCUUUUAUUUAUAUGACUUUGGUUUGGGUUUCUUGCAUUAGUUAUGUAUUAGUGAACAUGUUUUGCCAUUAUAAUCUGUUUGUAGUAAAUAAAUGAUUAAUUCCCAAACAUUCGUCUAAUCUCAUCCUUUCCUUUGUGUUUGCAUGUGAUACCCCCACGAGCCAUUUGGGCCACCUCUUUGCAUUUGGAAACCUGUUGGGCCUGAGGCCUAACUACUCCUAUUUAUUGAUCGAGUCCGCAUAAAUAAGGGAAGCAAAUAUGAUGAAGGCCAUCCAUGGGUGAAAAUGGAGGCUGGUGGGUUUGGUAGGCCCACCAGCUUAAUUUUCUUUCUUUUCAAUCUAGUUGUAUAUCAUAUAUGUAUAUGUAUAUGUAAAUACUCAUGUAAAAUAUUAAACCCUUAUGCGUGUAGAACUAGGAAAAACACGUACUAUUUAGGAAAGUUGUCAAAUGAUUUUCAAAGGAAAACUCUGAUGAUAAUUAUUUUUCAUAAGGUGGGAAUUUAACAAUAAGUUUUGGGUCUAAAAACUAUUUUAAAGGUAAAGGUUAAGCACAAAGAAUGAAGAGCGGGAUUUGGUUAAUUUUAAAAUUAAACAAGGCAGAAUCUUCCUUCAAAUGUUAAGCAACAGAUUUUUGGGCCUCAAACCUGUGAUAAACACCGGAUAAGCAUGUUUUUUUUUAGAAUUGGUUUAAAGGAACGGCUUGUUUAAAAAAUGUGUAGCUGGUUGUGUAUCAAAAACAAGUUUUGGACUUGAACUAAUCUGGAUAAUUUUGAGAAUUGGAUCUGGACUUGAAUGAAUUUCUGAGAAAAAAAUAAAUAAUAAAGGCUAGUUUGGGGCCUAGAGGCCCAGUACAGAUUUUGGACAAAAAGGAAGAGAAACUUGUUGGGUCAGUUUGAGAUUGGGACGGUCUGGACUUAAGAGUAUGGAUGACCUUAUGAGCUUCAAUUAAAAGGAUUUAGACCUAAGCAAAGUUAUAUUUACUUAUUACUACUAUAUAUAAGGGGCAAUGUAAUGAGGUUUAUAGUACUUAGUUACAUUGUAACUAUUUGGUUGCCCCAACUAAAUUGGUUUGCUCUUUCAAAUUGUCCUUAGAGUUGCUAUUUAUUACUUCAUGUAUAAAGGUAUAUUCCAAUAAAUCAAGAUACUUUGAAAUC